rnacentral:rRNA from 1 species
AUUGAACGCUGGCGGCAGGCUUAACACAUGCAAGUCGAGCGGAGUGAUGGUGCUUGCACUAUUACUUAGCGGCGGACGGGUGAGUAAUGCUUAGGAAUCUGCCAUUUAGUGGGGGACAACAUUCCGAAAGGAAUGCUAAUACCGCAUACGUCCUACGGGAGAAAGCAGGGGAUCUUCGGACCUUGCGCUAAAUGAUGAGCCUAAGUCGGAUUAGCUAGUUGGUGAGGUAAAGGCCUACCAAGGCGACGAUCUGUAGCGGGUCUGAGAGGAUGGUCCGCCACACUGGGACUGAGACACGGCCCAGACUCCUACGGGAGGCAGCAGUGGGGAAUAUUGGACAAUGGGCGGAAGCCUGAUCCAGCCAUGCCGCGUGUGUGAAGAAGGCCUUUUGGUUGUAAAGCACUUUAAGCGAGGAGGAGGCUCUCCUAGUUAAUACCUUGGAAGAGUGGACGUUACUCGCAGAAUAAGCACCGGCUAACUCUGUGCCAGCAGCCGCCGUAACAC